AAGGUGUAAAUCCACAUGCUAUUGACUUCUGUCCGACAACAAUAACAUGCACACUGUAUCAUUUUAAAAAAUAAUUUAAGAAUUUUAAUUUAUUUAGAGCUGUACAUUUCAUCCUCAUCACUAUACAUUUUAGUUUUACAUAAGGUGCUACAUAUGUGCUAAAAUUAUCUUUAUUUUUUUCGGUGAACCUGCAUAAAAAUGAUUAUUUCUUGACCAGCAUGAGUAGUUAUCACAUUUAUUAAUUUAAAUGAAAUGUUUGGGUUUAAACUGUGUAUAUAUGAGAGGAUGAAAGAGGAGGAGUUUAACAUCUCAGAUGAUCUUGUUACAUUUGACUGUCACAAAGCUCAGUCCUGCUGCAGUGAACACACACAUGUACAAUGAUACUUCAUUCAGUCAUUCUGCUCUCUGCCUUGGCAUGUGUGAGUUUUGGAGAUGAAAUCACACAAGACAGCACUGAAGAGUCUGCUGCAGAGGGUUCAACUGUUACAUUAUCCUGCAGUUAUUCAUCUGCAAAUUCACUUCUCUGGUACCGUCAGUAUCCUGGAUCAGCUCCUCAAUUUCUUGUGCUUAUAAUAGAGGGUGUGAAAGAGACCAAGACAGAGACAUCGGAGGUAGAUCCCAGAUUCUCUACUAAGAUCAGAAAAGAAAAACAAGCCACAAAAGAGAUCAAACGUGUGGAUCUGGAGAUCUCCUCUGCUGCAGUAUCAGACUCUGCUCUGUAUUACUGUGCUCUGAGGCCCACAGUCACAGGAAACACAUCAACACUGUACAAAAACCUGACACAGCUGAAGGUGUACUACUAAUUUCCUGUCAUAUAAUCUAUCUUAAUUAAAGGUAGAUUAUGAAUUCAUAAUGUAUAAAUAUGUGAAGGUGAAAAGUGCUGCAGUGACAUGAUAGAUUAGAUAGAUUUUUUUUUUUUUUUUUAAGUUAACUUAAUGCUUUUACUGCUCUUCGUACACACUGUACUCUUAGGAUGUUCUGCAAACCACUGAAUGAUUGUUGUUUUAAAUAGAAUUUAACUUGCUUUUUGUGUCUAAGCUGUGGCGACUAUACAAGACCAUACAAUUAAUACCUGAUUUAUAAAUCUACAGUACUAUAACAACCAAAGUUUGAGGAAUUAAUCAACAUCACAUUCUGUUUGUGCUCUGAGGAUUUUUCUUGUACAUGUUAGUAAGUAACCACAAGAGGGUGCUAUAAACUACAGUAUAUGAAUAGUGAUGACACUGUGGACUAUGAAACAGAUCUGAUCUGUUCUUUCAUUUAGAUCUCUGGAAGAGGGAGGGUUUAAAGCAUUGACAUCAGAUGUGAUCUUGAUAAGUGUCUGUAAGAGAAGUCUGUUCAACAGAUCAUA